GAUGAAGAACGCAGCGAAAUGCGAUAAGUAAUGUGAAUUGCAGAAUCCAGUGAAUCAUCGAAUCUUUGAACGCACAUUGCGCCCGCCAGCAUUCUGGCGGGCAUGCCUGUUCGAGCGUCAUUUCAACCCUCGACCUCCCUUUGGGGAAGUCGGCGUUGGGGACCGGCAGCACACCGCCGGCCCCGAAAUGGAGUGGCGGCCCGUCCGCGGCGACCUCUGCGUAGUAAACCAACUCGCACCGGAACCCCGACGUGGCCACGCCGUAAAACACCCAACUUCUGAACGUUGACCUCGAAUCAGGUAGGACUACCCGCUGAACUUAAGCAUAUCAAUAAGCGGAGGA
rnacentral:misc_RNA from 1 species